UACGGGGGGGCAAGCGUUGUUCGGAAUUACUGGCGUAAGGGCGCGUAGGCGCCUUCUAAGUCAGACGUGAAAUCCCUCGGCCUCAACCGGAGGAACUGCGUCUGAUACUGGAAGGCUUGAAUCCGGAGAGGGAUGUGGAAUUCCAGGUGUAGCGGUGAAAUGCGUAGAUAUCUGGAGGAACACCGGUGGCGAAGGCGGCAUCCUGGACCAAUUCUGACGCUAGUGAGCGAAAGCCAGGGAGCA
rnacentral:rRNA from 1 species